rnacentral:rRNA from 3 species
CUAAACCAUGCACCGAAGCUGCGGCAGCGACACUGUGUGUUGUUGGGUAGGGGAGCGUUCUGUAAGCCUGUGAAGGUGUGUCGUGAGGCAUGCUGGAGGUAUCAGAAGUGCGAAUGCUGACAUAAGUAACGAUAAAGCGGGUGAAAAGCCCGCUCGCCGGAAGACCAAGGGUUCCUGUCCAACGUUAAUCGGGGCAGGGUGAGUCGACCCCUAAGGCGAGGCCGAAAGGCGUAGUCGAUGGGAAACGGGUUAAUAUUCCCGUACUUGGUGUUACUGCGAAGGGGGGACGGAGAAGGCUAUGUUGGCCGGGCGACGGUUGUCCCGGUUUAAGCGUGUAGGUGUGUGUUCCAGGUAAAUCCGGUUCACUUUAACACUGAGGCGUGACGACGAGGCACUACGGUGCUGAAGCAACAAAUGCCCUGCUUCCAGGAAAAGCCUCUAAGCAUCAGGUAACAUCAAAUCGUACCCCAAACCGACACAGGUGGUCAGGUAGAGAAUACCAAGGCGCUUGAGAGAACUCGGGUGAAGGAACUAGGCAAAAUGGUGCCGUAACUUCGGGAGAAGGCACGCUGACACGUAGGUGAAGUGAUUUACUCAUGGAGCUGAAGUCAGUCGAAGAUACCAGCUGGCUGCAACUGUUUAUUAAAAACACAGCACUGUGCAAACACGAAAGUGGACGUAUACGGUGUGACGCCUGCCCGGUGCCGGAAGGUUAAUUGAUGGGGUCAGCGCAAGCGAAGCUCCUGAUCGAAGCCCCGGUAAACGGCGGCCGUAACUAUAACGGUCCUAAGGUAGCGAAAUUCCUUGUCGGGUAAGUUCCGACCUGCACGAAUGGCGUAAUGAUGGCCAGGCUGUCUCCACCCGAGACUCAGUGAAAUUGAACUCGCUGUGAAGAUGCAGUGUACCCGCGGCAAGACGGAAAGACCCCGUGAACCUUUACUAUAGCUUGACACUGAACAUUGAGCCUUGAUGUGUAGGAUAGGUGGGAGGCUUUGAAGUGUGGACGCCAGUCUGCAUGGAGCCGACCUUGAAAUACCACCCUUUAAUGUUUGAUGUUCUAACGUGGACCCGUUACCCGGGUUGCGGACAGUGUCUGGUGGGUAGUUUGACUGGGGCGGUCUCCUCCUAAAGAGUAACGGAGGAGCACGAAGGUUGGCUAAUCCUGGUCGGACAUCAGGAGGUUAGUGCAAUGGCAUAAGCCAGCUUGACUGCGAGCGUGACGGCGCGAGCAGGUGCGAAAGCAGGUCAUAGUGAUCCGGUGGUUCUGAAUGGAAGGGCCAUCGCUCAACGGAUAAAAGGUACUCCGGGGAUAACAGGCUGAUACCGCCCAAGAGUUCAUAUCGACGGCGGUGUUUGGCACCUCGAUGUCGGCUCAUCACAUCCUGGGGCUGAAGUAGGUCCCAAGGGUAUGGCUGUUCGCCAUUUAAAGUGGUACGCGAGCUGGGUUUAGAACGUCGUGAGACAGUUCGGUCCCUAUCUGCCGUGGGCGCUGGAGAACUGAGGGGGGCUGCUCCUAGUACGAGAGGACCGGAGUGGACGCAUCACUGGUGUUCGGGUUGUCAUGCCAAUGGCACUGCCCGGUAGCUAAAUGCGGAAGAGAUAAGUGCUGAAAGCAUCUAAGCACGAAACUUGCCCCGAG